ensembl:processed_transcript 4930500F04Rik RIKEN cDNA 4930500F04 gene
ACUAAAGUAAGAAAGGCAGAAACACUGGUACCCGCCUCCCGGUGGAUGCUGCAGUGUUAUCAGAAGUGUUAAAGAUGAUAGAUCUUGAGACCCGCACAGAUCUCAAAGUGAUCCACACAAAUGACUCAGCGUCUCUGUGGUGUACUGUCACGUGCUGGGGCUGGCUCACUGGAGCCUGAGUGCUCGUGGGUGAGACAGAGAUAAGACACGAGUAGAAGAGAGAGCAGUGAUAGCCAACAGGCACUCAUAGCUUCUGCUUUAAACCAAGCCCGGAGGAGAGAAGGUGAGGAAACACACACACGUUUCAGUUCUAAAUCUCUCCAAGCAAGACACCCCAAAGGCACGGAUGAGGUUGGUAGUUGCUGUAUCUUGAAUCAAGACUUGUGUGCUAAAGGACAGGUCACCAGCCUGUAAUGGUACUACAUGGAGUUGUUGAAACUUUGAGGGGAAGAAUACAAUUAGAAGAAGUUCUGUCUUUGAGGGCAUGCCUUGAAGGCAAUAGUGAGUCCUCGGAACCUUGUCUCUUUCUUUGCUUCCCGAUUAGCAUAAGGCGAACGGGCAUCCUUAGCCGCCAGCUCCUGCCAUAGUGCGCUGGACUGCCACAGUCCCAAAGCACUGGGGCCAGGAGACCACAGGCUGAAACUGCUGACCCAGCAGCCGCGGGAACCUUUUCUUUCGCUAAGCUUGUUCUCUCGGGUACUGACCGGAAGCUGACUCCCUUGAAGAGAAUGAGAGUAAUGACGUAGUAAAGCACCGGAAGUCCAGUCUAUUCACCAUUGAAGACUGCCUGGCAGCUCACCGGUGGGCUCUGAGAAGAAGCAGUCAGUGAAAGAUACGCGUGUUUUGGCUUGAGCCCCUAAAUAGGCCAAGCCGCCCAGUAGGAUGGGAAGGGUGUGGGAAGAGCUGCUUUCCUAGGGGAGCAGGAGGUGGCAGUUUAUGUGUGCUAUGUUUCGAGAUGCCAAAUUGCCAUCCUAAAUCAAAUGUCAGUGUGAAAUUGUUUACAUGACCCGAAAGCUGGGCAGAACGCUCAGGCUUGCGAUCAAAAUGUAAGUGAGUUCAGCAUACAGGUGGCAUUUUAAGCCAGAGAUUUGAUGAGAUCACCAGGGAAUAUAGAUAGAAGAGAUCCAAGUGUGGAACUCUGGGGCACUUCAGUGUUUAGAGGUAAUCACUUGGGGCCAUCGAACAAGACUAAGGGGGCCUAUCGUCAACAAGGCAGAAGGUAAAGUAGGCAGUGAGAAAAAGAUUCACAAAAGCCAGAAUAAACGGCAACUUCAAAAAUGGUACCAACAGGCCAAGUGAGCACAGACACAGGGGCUAACUACUGAACUUAGCAAAGAGAUUAUCAUUGACUGUCACAGUUUCCAUGGAGCCUAAAUCCAGGGUAUGAAGUCAACUUUGAAGCGUGUUAAUCUUGCUCAUCUUGCUUUAAUGUCUAUGUCCCAGCAUGCUAAGAGGGGUGUCUGUAAAAGGAACACGUAUGUAAAUAUGUAAAAGGACUAUCCCAGGCAGUGCCCUGUGCUGUUUGAAUGACAUGCCGCCCACAGUUUCAGGCAUUUGAAUGCUUGCUUCCCAGUUGGUGGCCCUGGUUGGUGAGGCUUGGAGGGCGUGUCUUAUUGAAGGAAAUGCGCUACUGGUGGCAGGCUUAGAGAGCUUAUGGAGUCACACCAUUUCUAGUCUGCCCUUGGUUGUGUGGCUCAAGGUGUGUGAGCCCUCAGCUUUCUGCUUCGGUUGCCAUACUUUUGAUCCACUGUUAAGGACUCAAACCCAGAAAGAAAUGUAAGCCCAAAUAAACUCUUCUCUAAAUUGC